GGAGCGGAGUGGCAGUGCGCGCGAGGUGGAGGGGCGUUUUGUUACAAAUUAUUACAUUUGAUGUACGCGAGCCACGCAGGAGCGUACCCUCAAUUUGGAAAUACCCGACAGCGGGAACGAGUCAGACGGGCGUGGUAUCACUUCAACCAAGCCUAUAAGUUUCUGCGAGAGAUAGGCCACACCCUUCGAGAACUGGAACUCGGAACUAGCACCUCAAUAAUUUUCUCUUUCUCUUUCUCUUGAGGAACUUAAAGUUCCUCUGGAUUUCCAGAUCUGUUUCACUUGCAUAUUCAAUCUCCUCACAAGUUAUAUAUUAUAGAUUAGUCCCGGACACCCCUCACUCAUCAGUGCCCACUCCGUCAUACUCCUUGAAACGCUUUGAUUUUCCAAGCCCAUGUAGGCUCCUUUUCCCCAAGGACUCUACAACUAUCGUUGAGUUUCUGAGGGAAGCUUACUUUUCUCCCUCUCCUUCUCCCCCCUGGAUCUCUUCCCUUACGGUCUCCUGAUCUAAAGGAAGAAGAUCCUCCGCCUAGUUUCUACUACACACCUGGUUUCCACCAGUUAUUGCAGUUUCUGCUCACGAAGUUCCCUCUAUUUUCUGGGUCCCUCCUCGAAGAAACCAACCUAUGCUAUCUAUAUAUAUGGCUUCAAUCCGGAGAAGCUUUGCUCCGUACUUCCCCGUCUUUCCUCCAGCGCCAUAAUUUUUGUAUGUUUUUUCCACAUAUCCCAAUUAUUACCUUGACCCUUAAUCAAUAUUUUUUAAAUUCUUUCCUUUAAAUUCCGCCACAAUAAAUUAAAUAUUCGACUAAAAAACCCCCUUUAGUUUCUUUUCGAUCUAUCGCUCCCUUCCACUUAUACACAAGUACACAUACACGCACCGCACACGCACACACACACCCCAGUAUAUUUAAGCAAUUAUAGACUAUCCGAAUAUAACAUUGUAAUAAUUUUAGAAACAAUAAUCAUUCUGAGUAUAUUUGUAAAUCAAAGACAUGAAUAACAUAAUGAAAUAAUGUAUGGUAAUCAUUGUGAUAUAAAUGGAAUAAUUGUUAAAUAAAUGCUGUUUGUCUUCUUUCUAAAUUUAAAAUUUAUAAUAAACCGAUCUUUUUAAUGUAACUAGUGUUUGUGGACUAUGAUUAUUUCUGAUCUAUCUUACAUUUCGUGUUCUAAAGAUAAAGCACUUGGUUCGAUUCCGAGUCACAGUGAUUAAGUUUGUUGACUUUAAAAAGGACCAACAACCGUACUGUGCCCGAAGAGAGUCAAAGUGCCUUUUGGUAUACUGACCGAGACCUUGGGUUAAACAGUUCGUUUGACUCGUGGCACGCAGCAACUCGUGUUUACGAGUUUGCAAUUUAUUAACGAAAAUGACGAAUGCGAUGAGGAAAAUGAUACUUUAUUUGAAGUUGGUCUUACUAAAUGGCUAGGAGAAAACUCAAACAAUAAAGUUACAAAAAUUUCUUGGCUUCCUAGAUUUGAGCAAGGUAUUGCAGUUAAAAAAGAAUUAGAUGCACAUCUUUCAUGGCUCAUUUAUAAUGUUGUUGUUUUAAAAUUUUAUGGUAUGUUGCUUCUUAUUAUGUUUCUUUUUUCAUUUGUAUGGCUAUUUUUUUUUUAAUUCUGUAUUGUUUAGAUACACUUUUGGAUGCACGACAAGCACGGAAUAGAUCUAUUAUAUAUAUCUUCUACUUAUGAAACUGAAUAUGAAUUUGGUCGUGGCAAACGUAAAAAAAUUAAGCGCCAUUUGUCAAGUGAUGAAUCUUUUUCGACAAAUGUGACAAAAAAGAAAAGCUGUAAGAAAUUUAAACCUACUCCAAGUUUUGAUUAAGGAUAUUAAAACAAUGAAACUAUUACAUUUAAAAAAAGCAAUAAGACAAUUUUAACAUCUCAUAAAAAUAUCAAAUCUAAAAAGGAUUUUCUACUUACAAAAAUAUAUGGAGCAAAGAAGAAAACUUUACCUAUGAACGAACAAAAAACUGCAGCUGUCAUGGAGACAGCAAGACAAAAACAAAAAUGUUUGGAAGACAAUAGAGAAAUAUAGUAUUUCAUGCUGCAGAGGAAAAUAUUGAUUCUUAUUCCCGCAAAGAUUUUUCAAUGAAAAUUCAGAAAAUAAUGUCAUUAGAAAAUAAUGUUUCUGAAAAGACAAGUGCAAAGUUGAGUCUAGAGACACUAAGUACAUCAAGGGAUUAUUAUUAUUCGUAUCAAAAGGACACAUUUCAUGAGAUAUCAUCAUUUCCAAUGCGCAAUGUAUGCCCAUCGGAAUUACGUGAAACAAGUCCAAUUAGUUCUCAUAUAACAGCAUCAAUUGAUUUUACACCUUGCUCAUCUCAUCCAUCAGACAGUGCAUUAUCACAUGUGUCUGAAGUGACUUUUGAAACAAAAACUUUUAAAAAGAUGUAUAUGCUAUAUCAAGAAAUUAGUAGUAAAUUGGAUGUGCUGAUCAUGAAUCAAUGCAGAUUACAUCGACAUUUUCUUCCAAAUGAAAGAAGAAUAGUAAGACCAACAGAUCUUCCGGCACUACCAUUAACAACAGAAGAAGAAUUGGAAAAGUUGAAAAAUAUUUAUCGGAAGAUGAUAACACAGGAGCAACUAUUUAUUACAUGAGUCAAAUAAUUGGACCUAAGGAUAAUACUAAGGAAGCAACGUAUAAAGUACUGAAGAAACUUAUUUCGAAUACACUGGCAUCGGAAUUUACUUUGAAAGGUGGUACCGAAAAUGUUUUGAAAAGCUGACGUUGUAUUAAUUGUUCAAGUGCCAUUUUGGAUGAAAGACCAAAAACAGAAGUCGAAGAAAUUGCUGUAGCAACUUCGUCAUGGCUAAAGCAAGCCCUUUGGUGUCACCAAUAUGAUGGCAGUAUGGGAAGAA